rnacentral:lncRNA from 1 species
UAUACCACACCCCACAAAUGUUGCUUAUGUUUCCUUGGUCAUUCUGUCCAUCCUCCUGUCUGUCCAAAGCCAAGGACACUGCUCUACUCUAAAUUUUUUGUCCCGAAGCCCCCAAAUACUGCAACCCUGACCCAAUGCACGAAGCCACCCCAAAAUACAGCAGAGGACACCAGGACUUUCAUUUUCCCUCAGUAUGGCCCAUCCUUUGGGUAUGCCAACUCCAUGUCCACCAAGCACUGCAUGUAGGACAGGGCACAGUUUGGAGGCCUUGGUCCAGCCACUGCCCCAGACCCACCUUGGCUCUCUCCUCACUAACACCCGAGAAGCCCAGACUUCCCAGUGUUUAGCAACAGAUUAAACUCUAAGCCAACAACAACAGAACAGGGUGGAGUGAGUGGAAAGCAAAUGAAAUGUUAAAAAAAAAAAAAAAGCAAUACUUGCAUUCUCAUUAGUAGGAACAUGUGAGAUGAAGCAUGUUAUGUUAUUAGGCAUUCUCUUGAUUCGGUAAACACAAGCUGAAUAAAUUUAUAAAUAUCAGCAUUAAGCGAGAUUUAACGGGGAGCUGUUUAUCUUCUGCCUGUCAGGCAGGCGGCAACACUCUCCAUGUAUCACUCGCCAGCCGUGCAGUCCUCACUCUCUUGCCCAGGUAAGCUGGGGAAGAGCCUGCUGCCGCCCAGCUCUGGUUGUGGAAGGGCUGGCACCAAGGAGCUGCGAGCUUACCUCAACUCAUCUCACCUCACCAUGCCGGCUGCGAGGCGGCCCGUGCAGUCCGUGCGCAGGAGGUCACACUCCCAUGCUGCAUCCCAGCCCCUCCAGAAGCAGAGCAUGACCUGGGUGACUUUGAGGAUGCUAUUUAACCUCUCUAAGCUAAAGCUCCUCGACUGCAGCAUCAACAGAUCAGUGCCGACCUGUUAAGGCCGUCGAGAGCAUCAAAUGCUACUGUUCAGCAGGUGCCUGACACAUAGUAGGUCCACAAGCAAAUGAUUUUCCUGCUUGCAUCAUUUCUAGCACAGAGCUGGAGGAAAUGGCGAGGUGCAGGUGGCCGCUGGGCCCUGCUGUUCUACAUGGGAGCAAGACAGCUGCUAGGUGAAGGGGAAUGACCAGGCAGCCACAGGGAGGACAUGUGGCCUCAGGAAGCCUGGGUGUGUAUCCUGGUUCUGCUAGGAACACGUGUGGGGCUUUGUGUGGGUGACUCUCUGGCUCCCCAAGCCUCCCUUUCCUACUGUUAUAUCCUUAAAGUGCCUCUGAGGCCAAAGCCUUUGUGGCAAUUGUCAAAUGAGUCCAUAUGCAGUGAGUACCGUGUUGAGGGAGGACAAGGUCACCAAGAGCUGAGAAUGUUUCUCCGACUGAUGAGACCUAGAUAUUGGGUACAUGGAGGUCCCCGGUCCCUUUGUGAUUCCUGCAGCCUGUUGCCUCCUUGCCUGGACCCCGCCUCAGCUCAGAAAGCCAAUUCCCUAGAUUCCAAAGGCCUUCCCAGACCAAUUAGCAUGUCCUGCAGCUGUCAGCUCCCUGUGCCUAGCCUGGACCUCAGCUCAUGUCUAGCACCCAGUCUCCCAACCCCACACAUAUUCACAAAUAAAAGAAAAUAAC